ACCAGCUGCGUAACGGUUCACACACUGAUGGCGCCUGGAGGUUUGGCGAAAUACUGACAGGAUGCGACGUCAACGGGAGCGCAGGGCCAAGAUACCCUUUAUAUCAAACCGUCUAUCCUGGAGCAGAAAAAUCCUGUCUUCAUUGCUAUAGCUACAGAUUCAGAAAUGAGCAUGUAACAAAUUCAGGCCAAAGAGAGGCAAUGGAAAUCAGAGAAACACUGUUCCUGAAAGCUUCUGUCACUCAAGAAUCCAUGAAACAUUCAUGAACUUCACAUCAGAAGCCAAGCCCAGAAAAUAUGGGUUUAAGGUUUGCCUAUAUGUCCAAUACAAGAGAAAAAAGAACAUUCCACUUCUUUAGAAGGUUCUACUUUGAUCUCCUGAGUCCUCAGAAGGGAAGAUAGUGUUAAUGUAGAAUUGAUAACACAGAAUGCACCACUGCUGUGAUCCUUAUAUCUUGGCUGGCCAUUACCCCUCCACUUGGAAAUGAAAAAGAUAAACUAAUUGAAGCAGUGAGAAGAGAAAAAGGGAGAGGAAGGUUCCUCUUUGCCUUCAACCAUGAGUAACAGCUCCCUGAGGCCUCCCCAGAAGCUGAGUAAUGCUGGUGCCAUUCUUACACAGCCUGCAGAACCGUGAGCCAAUUAAACCUCUUUUCUUUAUAAAUUGCCCAGUAUCAAGUAUUUCUUUACAACAAUGCAAGAACAGCCUAACUACAGUGCACAUGGAGAAUUUAUUGCAAACUAUGUGGUAUACAGACUAUUUUUGUUUUUGUCACUCAGUGACAUUCAAUCAUCUCUUAAAUCAUCCACAGACAAGAAAUUGUGGCGGUAGUCAAUGAUCGUAAUUAAAAGCAAGGAUCCUACUUUCAGGACAGUGGCAUCAAGUAUACCACUUUGAAAGUGAUUUUUUUUGGUUUGAGAUUUUUGUAAUGAUUGCAUGUUUACAUCCUAAAAUUAUUCCAUAUGGCUUGUAGGAAACAAACAUGCCAUUUAGGUCUGCUGUAGCCUUAUUUAAAGGUUUCCCUCUCAACACUACAGUAUAUAGCAAAGAAAAAAA
rnacentral:lncRNA from 1 species